rnacentral:tRNA from 5 species
CGGGGUAUGGCGCAGUUUGGUAGCGCACCUGCUUUGGGAGCAGGGGGUCGCAGGUUCAAAUCCUGUUGCCCCGA